GACGAACGCUGGCGGCGUGCUUAACACAUGCAAGUCGAACGGAAAGGCCCUGCUUUUGUGGGGUGCUCGAGUGGCGAACGGGUGAGUAACACGUGAGUAACCUGCCCUUGACUUUGGGAUAACUUCAGGAAACUGGGGCUAAUACCGGAUAGGAGCUCCUGCUGCAUGGUGGGGGUUGGAAAGUUUCGGCGGUUGGGGAUGGACUCGCGGCUUAUCAGCUUGUUGGUGGGGUAGUGGCUUACCAAGGCUUUGACGGGUAGCCGGCCUGAGAGGGUGACCGGCCACAUUGGGACUGAGAUACGGCCCAGACUCCUACGGGAGGCAGCAGUGGGGAAUAUUGCACAAUGGGCGGAAGCCUGAUGCAGCAACGCCGCGGGCGGGAUGACGGACUUCGGGUUGUAAACCGCUUUCGCCUGUGACGAAGCGUGAGUGACGGUAAUGGGUAAAGAAGCACCGGCUAACUACGUG
rnacentral:rRNA from 1 species